CACACCUACACACCGAGAAAGACAUGGGGAGAGAAAGGAGGGAGGUUUAGCUUGGGAAAAAAAGGAGAAGGUUAGCCUAGUAAUAGGCUGCCUAAGGAGAUAAUAGGGAAGAAAAAAUACUUGUCAGUAAGCAAGAGAUAACAGAGAAGAACCACAAGUGAAAGAGGGGCUGGCUGUUUCACCAGUGCAGAAAAUACCCAGUGAAUCAGAUGGAAGAGGAGGAAGGUUUGAAUUACUAAGAAGUGUGAUCCUCUAAAUGCAGGCUUGUACUGGGAUAAUUUCUUAUCACUUUGAGAGGAGCAACAUAAAUCUUUGGAACACAAAGAAUUGAAGGCUAGAAGAUAUUAUCUAGAUGACUAGAAGAUAUCUCAAGCCCUAGAGAGUCAAGGACAUCUUGCCCUGCACCUGGAAGACUGGAACUGGGAGGCAUCUCCACUUGGGACGGUGCUUUGAUUGGACCAUGUGAUGGACAUGUGGGUGUUGGGCAGGGACUUGAACUUUCCUUUGGGUGGGGAAAACCUGGAAACAUUUUCCCAGAUGUACAUUUUCCCAGAUGUACCAAUGUGACAUCUCUAAUAAAAUGGAACUUUGAGGAACUUCAAGCCUCAGAGAUUUCUUUCAUUGGGGAUGUUCCUUGGAACCCUGACAAAAAGAGUAUUUGGAGAGCUCCCAUUCUUCUCACAAGGACAUACAGCAGGAGCUUUUUUAGGUAGAAAAUAAGGGGGGAAGUUGAAGCGGGACUGGACUGAUUUUUAAAUUUUUAAAUUUUAAAUUUUUUAAUCUUUUGUAAUUUUAUAUGGGGUAUUUUAGGUUGGUCAAUCUGACGGUUUUAAUUCAGCCACUAUUGAAUAGGUAUUUUAAAUUGAUAUUUUUAACUUUGUAUAUUUACUGUUUUUUAUCCUGGCUGUACACUGCCCUGAGUCCUUCGGGAGAAGGGCGGUAUAAAAAUUUAAAUAAAUAAAUAAAUAAAUAAAUAAAGUAAGUCCCCUCACUUCCAGAUUCCAUUCACUACCUGCAAAAAAAUGGGGGAGAGAAGUCUAUCCUUUUUCAUAUAAAUGUGAACAUCUUGUGAAUGUUAUGGCUUUGAGUCAGUCUGAGAGUAAUUAUUACAAAUGAAUUUAGAGCAGACAAAUCCUGCUAGGAAAGGUGGAAGGAAAGAGAAGAGGAUGACCAACAGCAAGGUGGACAGACUUAAUUACAAUACCAAUGGGUGCUUCAGUGGGAGAGGAUCAGGUUGGAGAAGAGAUUAUUCUGGAUAAAGUUCAUUUAAAUGAUUACUGCAUAUCAAUACCAACUUGAUGACACAUAAUCAGUUAGUCAAAGCUAAGUAAGAUACUCUUGGCCAGGAAGCCUUGAAGCAAUUCAGAAAGCCUCCUUGUGUGAACUUGUUCAAUACUGAGGAAAAUACCCAAAGCUGUACCAAUAUGAAGCUUCUUCUUCCUGGCAUUCUGGAUUAAAAUCAGUUUAACAGUACACACUGGUAAUAGUUCAGGAAUUUCUGUUAAGUAAUUUAAUUUAGAAAAGCUACAAAACCAUGAAUAAGAAUUCCAGUAAAGAUCUUAUCUUUGAACUUCUUCCUUCCACUUGAGCUGUGCAAUGAGUUAGAUAGUUGUUUCACUUGGGCAAACAAUCUGAUUAUCAAUUGUCUUUUAUUUUAGCAAUGAUCAGAUCUGAUAAUAGGUUGUCUUCAAUUGUGUAAGACUUAAUUCACACCUCUGGGGAAGGGAGAGUUAGGAUCAGGUAGUAAGCAUGGUCAUCUGCUUGCCAACUAUCCAAAGCUCAUCCACACAGCAUACUUACAACAGUGUGAAGACAUUGCACAGUUUCUUGAGUUCAUGUCACACAAUGAAGCAUCCACCUCACAGACAGUCUGCUGCUGGGAUAAAUUGAAGCUGGUCCAAGGGAUUCCCACCUAAAAGUAAUGUGAUCAGGGAUGGACAUUUCCCAUUCAGAUAAUCCUUGGUGACUAGAGGAGGAUAUUUGAGGGGAUGCACUUGGGGGUGGAGAUCUGCUUAUCUUUAACUGGUUGGUCAUUCUGUUAUGAAUCCACUACUUCCUACUGUCUGGAUUUGGUACUACUUGUGCAGUGUUUCUUGGAUGUGAAGGACAUUAGAACCCUGGCUUCCAGAACCAGUAAAAAUUAAUUAGCUGAUCAACCUAAAAUGUACGAUGCUCUGAAGUGGACUACCCCAACACCUGCUGAACACACAUCAUUGAAAGUUUCCACUCAGAUGUCAUGAUACUAAGAAAGAUACUUGAGUGUGCAGAGAUGGAUAAAUUAACUAUGGAAUUAAAGGAUAGAGAAGAAAUGGAACACUAUAAAAUAUGGACUAUAUGGUACAACUGGUUAGAAGAUAGAUGUAAAGUUGUUACAUGAGGAAUAUGUAAUAUAUGUAUAGCAAAAUGAGAAAAUACUGUAUAUAUCUGUAAAUAUUGUCACAAUUUAAAAAUAGAUAACUAAAAGAUUAUAUAAUAUAUAGCACAGUAACUAUGUUAAUAUUAGUGAUAUCGAUACUGAAAUGCUGUAAUGAGUGGAAAUGUGGUUUUUAAUGUUGAAAUAUGUCUAAUAAAAAAAAAUUAAAUUAAAUGCAAAAAAAAGUGUGAGCAAAAGAACUCUGUUCUUGGGCUUCUGUGGUUUGCAUGAUAAAGAAUUUCUUUUCCAGUGGCCUUUGCUAACUUGUUGCUGGCAAUCCUUAUGAUUUAUAUUGAUAUACUGACCAUCAAUUGUGUUGUAAAUGUUGUACCUUGAUGAACGUAUCUUUUCUUUUAUGUACACUGAGAGCAUAUGCACCAAGACAAAUUCCUUGUGUGUCCAAUCACACUUGGCCAAUAAAAUUCAAUUCUAUUCUAUUCUAUUCUAUUCUAUUCUAUUCUAUUCUAUUCUAUUCUUCACAGAAAAUCCUUUUUUUAAAAAAAAAAUUGCAUUACAAUAAGGAACCCAGUACAAAGUUUCAGCUACAAUUUCCCAGCAACAUUUAGUGACUGCAUUUAGUGACUAAAUCCUAAGCACACAGGGCAGUCAAGAGAGACAAACACGGUCACCUAAUGGUCCAUAAGAGAAUAUAACAAUUGGUCAACAGAUCAACAACCAUCUUGGAAAAAUUAUGUGGAUGAACUCAAAGGCCCCUGCCAAUGGAACAUUUCUCUCACACAUACCAAAAUUAUUUUCUUGAUCGCAGGUUCCAAAAUACUUAUGUACAAUAUGUGGGUUACACCAAUCCAGGCUACCACUACUUUGCAGCUAAGAAAAUUAAACUCUUUGCUGCCAUCUGGUGAUUGCUAAGCCAAGGGCCUCUGGUGGCUCAGAUUGGUAAGACAGUCUGUUAUUAACAGCAGCUGCUUGCAAUUACUGCAGGUUUAAGUCCCACCAGGCCCAAGGUUGACUCAGCCUUCCAUCCUUUAUAAAGGUAGGUAAAAUGAGGACCCAGAUUGUUGGGGGCAAUAAGUUGACUUUGUAUAUAAUAUACAAAUGGAUGAAGACUAUUGCUUGACAUAGUGUAAGCUGCCCUGAG